UCAUAUGCUUGUCUCAAAGAUUAAGCCAUGCAUGUCUAAGUAUAAGCAAUUAUACAGCGAAACUGCGAAUGGCUCAUUAUAUAAGUUAUCGUUUAUUUGAUAGUGCCUUACUACUUGGAUAACCGUGGUAAUUCUAGAGCUAAUACAUGCUAAAAGACCCGACUUUGGAAGGGUUGUAUUUAUUAGAUUAAAAGCCAAUGCCCUCUGGGCUCAGUGGUGAAUCAUGGUAACUUCGCGAAUCGCAUGGCCUUGUGCCGGCGAUGGCUCAUUCAAAUUUCUUCCCUAUCAACUUUCGAUGUUUGGGUAGUGGCCAAACAUGGUUGCAACGGGUAACGGAGGGUUAGGGCUCGACCCCGGAGAAGGAGCCUGAGAAACGGCUACUACAUCCAAGGAAGGCAGCAGGCGCGCAAAUUACCCAAUCCCGACACGGGGAGGUAGUGACAAUAAAUACUGAUACAGGGCUCUUUUGGGUCUUGUAAUUGGAAUGAGUACAAUUUAAAUCCCUUAACGAGGAACAAUUAGAGGGCAAGUCUGGUGCCAGCAGCCGCGGUAAUUCCAGCUCUAAUAGCGUAUAUUAAAGUUGUUGUGGUUAAAAAGCUCGUAGUUGAACCUUGGGCCUGGCUGGCAGGUCCGCCUCACCGCGUGCACUUCGCCGGCCGGGCCUUUCCCUCUGUGGAACCCUAUGCCCUUCACUGGGUGUAGCGGGGAAACAGGACUUUUACUUUGAAAAAAUUAGAGUGCUCCAGGCAGGCCUAUGCUCGAAUACAUUAGCAUGGAAUAAUAAAAUAGGACGCGCGGUUCUAUUUUGUUGGUUUCUAGGACCGCCGUAAUGAUUAAUAGGGACAGUCGGGGGCAUCAGUAUUCAAUUGUCAGAGGUGAAAUUCUUGGAUUUAUUGAAGACUAACUACUGCGAAAGCAUUUGCCAAGGAUGUUUUCAUUAAUCAGGAACGAAAGUUAGGGGAUCGAAGACGAUCAGAUACCGUCGUAGUCUUAACCAUAAACUAUGCCGACUAGGGAUCGGACGACAGUCGUUUGUGACUCGUUCGGCACCUUACGAGAAAUCAAAGUGCUUGGGCUCCAGGGGGAG
rnacentral:rRNA from 1 species